AGUAGAGUGCCUGAAUAAAGGGUUAUCGUGAUAGGAUAAAUAAUGUAAUUACAUUUUACCUUUACUA
rnacentral:tRNA from 1 species